rnacentral:rRNA from 1 species
UACGGAGGGUGCAAGCGUUGUCCGGAAUCACUGGGCGUAAAGGGCGCGUAGGCGGCUCAUGAAGGCUGUGGUGAAAGUCCGGGGCUCAACCUCGGAUCGGCCCGUGGCGACUCGUGGGCUGGAGCACUGUAGAGGCGGGUGGAAUUCCGGGUGUAGCGGUGGGAAUGCGUAGAGAUCCGGAAGAACACCAGUGGCGAAGGCGGCCCGCUGGGCAGUGGCUGACGCUGAGGCGCGACAGCGUGGGGAGCAAACAGGAUAGAU